GGCCAGGCGCUGAGGCGUCAGGAGUUCCUUGUCUAAGCUGGUGCAGGAUUCCUCCUCGCCAAGAUAAACACUGUUUACGGAUUUCAAAUAAACGCACUUCCACAGAGAAGCCAAGAAAUAACUGGCUCCGCUGCUUGUGGUUGGGUUAGGGAAGUAGGAUAGUGCUCAUUGCUUUCCCCUUUUCACCAGUUUCCAAAUGAUUGUGAAUGUGGUUAGAUCGGUUUGGUUACUAAUUUUAUGAUGUUUAACCAGACUGACAGUGACGUGCAGGCCCCUGUGGUGCCUGGUGCCUCAGCCUGUACUCCCCUCCCAUCCUGACCCUGUGAGCUGCGGGGGGCUGGGAGCAGGCUAGCCACAUGUCAGUUCUGCACAAGCCUUUCUGGGAGCUACACAUCAGCACACAGGUCAGGGUUGCGAUGUGUCCAGGCCGGUGCAAACGCCAGCCUGCGGAGGAAGAAUGCAGCAUUCAACAGAGUCCCAGCGGCUGGACAGGGAGCCUGAAGGCUGGGUCACCUGUCACCUGUCACCCUGUGGACCUGGCAUCAUGUGUUUUCCACGGACACCCCGAAUCCGGAGCCCCCGGGAGGACUCCGCAGACCAUAUGCUGAGGUGUGCUUUGCGUUUCUAUCGUCAGGUGGGCUGCAGGCUUCCAGGCUAGACAGCUCCUUACCACCAGAAGUCCGUGCCUACCAGCUGCCUCACGCCCCAAGGCCCAGCAACAAGGACAAGCACCUCCCCAGAGCUUCCGGAAGGCUCUCACAGAAACCACAUUCCAGGCCUUUUAAAACGAAAAACACCCCCCAGCUACUCCAGAGGCUGAGGCAGGAAAAUGGCUUGAACCCAGGAGGCAGAGGUUGCAGUGAGCCAAGAUCCCACGACUGCACUCCAGCCUGGGCAACAGAGCGAGACUCUGUCUCAAAAAAAAAAAAUACUGAGACCCCAUCUCUACAAAAAAUAAAAUAAAAUAAAAUAAAAUAAAAUAAAAUAAAAUAAAAUACAAAAUUAAAAAAAAAAGAAAAAAAAGAGAAAAACACCCUCCCUAAGACCUCUGUUCACCCCUCCCUGUGUGAGGCCCAGGAGGCAUCAGUAAACAGAAACAAGGCCGGCCCUCACACAGCAGGUACACCCCAACAUCUCAACAAAACCUCACACAGGACACACACCCAACAUCGCAACAAAACCUCACACGGCACACACACCCCAACAUCUCAACAAAACCUCACACAGGACACACACCCCAACAUCUCAACAAAACCUCACACGGCACGCACAUCCCAACAUCUCAACAAAACCUCCCACGGCACGUACAACCCAAAAUCUCAACAAAACCUCCCACGGCACGCACACCCCAACAUCUCAACAAAACCUCCCACGGCACGCACACCCCAACAUCUCAACAAAACCUCCCACGGCACGCACACCCCAACAUCUCAACAAAACCUCCCACGGCACGCACACCCCAACAUCUCAACAAAACCUCCCACGGCACGCACACCCCAACAUCUCAACAAAACCUCCCACGGCACGCACACCCCAACAUCUCAACAAAACCUCCCACGGCACGCACACCCCAACAUCUCAACAAAACCUCCCACGGCACGUACACCCCAACAUCUCAACAAAACCUCCCACGGCACGUACACCCCAACAUCUCAACAAAACCUCACACGGCACACACACCUCAACAUCAACAAAACCUCACACAGCACACACACCUCAACAUCAACAAAACCUCACACGGCACACACACCCCAACAUCUCAACAAAACCUCACACAGCACACACACCCCAACAUCUCAACAAAACCUCACACGGCACACACACCUCAACAUCAACAAAACCUCACACGGCACACACACCCCAACAUCUCAACAAAACCUCACACGGCACGCACACCCCAACAUCUCAACAAAACCUCACACGGCACGUACACCCCAACAUCUCAACAAAACCUCACACGGCACGCACACCCCAACAUCUCAACAAAACCUCACACGGCACGCACACCCCAACAUCUCAACAAAACCUCACACGGCACACACACCCCAACAUCUCAACAAAACCUCCCACAGCACACACAACCCAACAUCAACAAAACCUCACACAGCACACACACCCCAACAUCUCAACAAAACCUCACACGGCACGUACACCCCAACAUCUCAACAAAACCUCACACGGCACGUACACCCCAACAUCUCAACAAAACCUCACACGGCACGCACACCCCAACAUCUCAACAAAACCUCACACGGCACACACACCUCAACAUCAACAAAACCUCACACAGCACACACACCCCAACAUCUCAACAAAACCUCACACAGCACACACACCCCAACAUCAACAAAACCUCACACAGCACACACACCUCAACAUCAACAAAACCUCACACAGCACACACACCCCAACAUCUCAAUAAAACCUCACACGGCACGUACACCCCAACAUCGCAACAAAACCUCACACGGCACACACACCCCAACAUCUCAACAAAACCUCACACGGCACACACACCUCAACAUCAACAAAACCUCACACAGCACACACACCCCAACAUCUCAACAAAACCUCACACGGCACGUACACCCCAACAUCGCAACAAAACCUCACACGGCACGCACACCCCAACAUCUCAACAAAACCUCACACGGCACGUACACCCCAACAUCUCAACAAAACCUCAGUAUCUACAAAAAGUAGCUGUGUAUGAAAUAAACCGAGCUGAUGUUUCUUUAAACAAGUUCUUUCAAUGGGAUUCCAGAGGCCCAGGUCUUGCAUUUCAGCAAUCAGCAGAGCAAGGGAAACACUCCAAGGCACGCUGCAGACAGACGCCCAGCAGAGGCAGGGCCAGAAGCAACACCAGGUUAAGUGGCACAAACUUUCCC
rnacentral:lncRNA from 10 species